rnacentral:rRNA from 1 species
GAUGAACGCUAGCUACAGGCUUAACACAUGCAAGUCGCGGGGCAGCAUGGGGGUUGCUUGCAAUCCCCGAUGGCGACCGGCGCACGGGUGAGUAACGCGUAUCCAACCUGCCCUUCACCACGGGAUAACCCGGCGAAAGUCGGACUAAUACCGUAUGUUGUCCAUUGACGGCAUCCGAUUUGGACGAAAGGCUUGGCGGUGAGGGAUGGGGAUGCGUCCGAUUAGCCAGACGGCGGGGUAACGGCCCACCGUGGCUACGAUCGGUAGGGGUUCUGAGAGGGAGGUCCCCCACACUGGAACUGAGACACGGUCCAGACUCCUACGGGAGGCAGCAGUGAGGAAUAUUGGUCAAUGGGCGUAAGCCUGAACCAGCCAAGUAGCGUGCAGGAUGACGGCCCUAUGGGUUGUAAACUGCUUUUAUGCGGGGAUAAAGUGGCCCACGGGUGGGCUUUUGCAGGUACCGCAUGAAUAAGGACCGGCUAAUUCCGUG